rnacentral:rRNA from 1 species
GUCGAGAAUCUUUCACAAUGGGGGCAACCCUGAUGGAGCGACGCCGCGUGGAGGAUAAGGUCUUCGGAUUGUAAACUCCUGUCAUGCGUGAACAAGGUUGCUUGGAUAAUACCUGAGCAAAUUGAUGGUAGCGCAAGAGGAAGAGACGGCUAACUCUGUGCCAGCAGCCGCGGUAAUACAGAGGUCUCAAGAGUUGUUCGGAAUUACUGGGCGUAAAGGGUGCGUAGGUAGCGUGGCAAGUCAGAGGUGAAAGCCCGUGGCUCAACCUCGGAACUGCAUACGAUACUGCCAUGCUAGAGUACUGGAGGGGUGACUAGAAUUCUCGGUGUAGCAGUGAAAUGCUUAGAUAUCGAGAGGAAUACCAAAGGCGUAGGCAGGUCACUGGACAGUUACUGACACUGAGGCACGAAGGCCAGGGGAGCGAACGGGAUUAGAUACCCUAGUAGUCC